rnacentral:lncRNA from 1 species
UUGAAUGGAAGAAAUGACGUGGGAAGUCGAGCACCAGAUAAGAAACCAAUAUUCACAUCUUUUCUUGGAAUCUGGUAAGUGAAAUUUUGAGGUCAAAAUUUUAUUUUAAGGGGGGUGGUUGUGAGACCUUGUCAAGCUCGAUUAAAAGACGAUAUUGUACCGAGUGGUACAACUAAGUUAAAUCGAGCCUUGAACUAGUUCAAAUAGAAAUUCUAAGAGGAAUUUGAAAAUUUUAAAACCCACAAAAUGGUUUAGAAUAGUAAUUCGGAGUUCAAGGUCCAGUCUAGAGUCCAUCAGGAAAAUUGACCGAUUAGGGAUAAAACGGUUAUUUUACCAUUUGAUGAUUAAAUGGAGAUUUCUAGCCAAGAUUUGAUCACAUUUGACCAAGAAUAAUUAUAUGAGAUAUAAUUAUGAUUAUUGGAGUAUAAAAUGAUGUUUAGCAGUGAAAAAUUAUGAUUCUCGGUAUUUUUGGAGCACAAGGGUAAAACGGUAAUUUUCCCACUAGAGGACUAAACAACAAUUUUUAUAGAACAAUUUUUGCCCCAUUUGGUUAAUAUUGAUCAAUAUUAGUGUUAUUUGAGGUUGAAAAGUAGAAAUAAUGUGAUUCCGAUACAUUUCGGAGUAUAGGGGCAAAAUCAUAAUUUUUUCACCCCGGGGGCAAAUCGGUAAAUAUUUCACCCCAGCACUUGUCAAGAUCAAGGGAUUUUAAUUGUGGUAGGAUUGGAUAAGUACCAGAAUAUUUGUGGUGGAAAAUUAAGAAGAAAAAGUCAAAAAGUUAAAAAAUUGGGCCAAUAAGCAUGUGACAUGUGGCAUGCUUGAUUAUUUUAUUAUUUUCUAUAGAAAUAAGCCCAUUAAAUCCCCAAUUCUCUCACCAUAUUCUGCCUAGGCAACCAGCAACAAGAACAAAGGAAGAACAAAGGAAGAACAAAGGGAAAAACAAGAAAACCUAGGUGGAAAUUCAAAGAAAAAGUGAAGAAAUCAAGGAAACAAGCUAGGUAAGUUAAAAUUUCUUUAAUUCUCCUUGAUACCUAGCUUACCCAUGCUUUUGUUCUUGAUUUCCAUGGUUGAAUAUUGAGUUAUCAUGAUGAAUUCAAUUCUGAAAAAUGGGUAUGGAAGAGGAAUUGUUGUUGGAAUAAUUUGAUUUUAGACUAUGUUAGUGUUUAGGGAUAGUUAAGCAUGGUUAUGAACAAAAACACAAAAGAAAUAUUCAAUUUCUCUAGGGUUCCUUGUUGGUCGAACCAUGAGGGCUGAAUAUCAAUGGGGGAUUGUUUUUAUUUCAAGGAAAAUGGCUUGGAAAUAUGAUGAAUUAAGGUGAAACGGUUAUGCAGAAAAAUUUUGGUGCUAGUGCACCAAAUGACCGAAUUUUUCUAUAAGGAACUGUGAGGGUUCUAAUGCUGAAUUUGGCUUUAUUUAAAUGGUAUGUGGUAAAUUAAGGUAUUAGAGGAGAAAUGGAUUAAUUUGGAGUGAAAUUGGACGCAUUGGCCAAUUUAUCGGAUGAAAAAUCGACUUAGGCCAAUACCGGGUCUAGAUGGCUACCCGUGCAUUUUUCAUUUCAUAUCAUAUAUAUAUCGAGCCUGAAAUAGCUUAUGACUGUUAGACACAAUUUAAUUGGAAUAUGUGUCAUGGAUUAUGGCUAGGUGGUGAGCCAUUGCAUACGGGUAAAGGACUGUACCCGCGGACUGAAAAUAGGAGUAUUUCUACUCCUAAUACCGGUGAGUGGACUUGCAUUUCAAACUUGUUUUGGGGAAUAUGAAAGAUUCUAUCCAACUUGUCUUAGAAAAUGUACCUUGGGAACAAGCUUUUAGUAAAAUGAUUUUAUAUUGUGAAAAUGUGCUAUACAAUGGUUUAUGUGUUAUCACAAUAUGAUAAAAUGCAUGAUAUGCAUUGGAUGCUUCUUUGCAUGUUGAUUUGAACCCGGCUAUGUGCGAGUAGGAGUGCACAUAAGCCGUUGCUGACCCGGCUAUGUGCGAGUGGGAGUGCACAUAAGCCGUUGCUGACCCGGCUAUAUGCGCAUAAGCCGUUGCAUAUGAGAUGAUGAUGAUGGGAUGGUGUGCAUGAUGAUGAUGAUGGGAUGGUGUGCAUGUUGAUGAUGGGUAUAUGGUUGUAAAUGCAAAUAUGUAAGCAUUUGUUUUGUUGAAAUUUGGAAGUUUACAUGUGUUACAUGUUGCUAUUGUUAUUUUAGCAGGAUGACUUGUUUUAAGGGAAAAAGGAGACUUUUUCCUUGAUGUUCUGGUUCUCGCUGCAGCGAGAAUGAAGUUCGCUACAGCGAGAAACUUUC